AGAGUGAAAAGAUCACCUGGAAUCACCUGACCAAACAUGAGAAUGGCAAAACGCAGUUGUCCAGGCCAAGCAAGCUGCAUCACCAUACCCAGGAUUUCCCAUCAACGUCCCAACUGGGGUGACACAAGGACUUAUCUUAGUUACAUGAGAAAGAUGAAAACAGAACAGAGAAAGAAGAGUCAGAUCUGGUUUCCAGCCUGAUGGUUUAUGGGCCAGUAGGAGGGAAGACAGCAGGUUUUGUGUAUAUUUUAAGUGGAAAAUAAACAUCUUCCUGGUCA